rnacentral:rRNA from 1 species
UACGGAGGAUGCGAGCGUUAUCCGGAUUUAUUGGGUUUAAAGGGUGCGUAGGCGGCUUUUUAAGUCAGCGGUGAAAUUUUGCAGCUUAACUGUAACAGUGCCGUUGAUACUGGGGAGCUAGGAUUUGGUUGCUGUGGGUGGAAUGUGUGGUGUAGCGGUGAAAUGCUUAGAGAUCACACAGAAUAUCGAUUGCGAAGGCAGCUCACAAAGCCAAGAUUGACACUGAGGCACGAAAGCGUGGGGAGCAAACAGGAUUAGA